UACGUAGGGUGCGAGCGUUAAUCGGAAUUACUGGGCGUAAAGCGUGCGCAGGCGGUUUUGUAAGACAGAUGUGAAAUCCCCGGGCUUAACCUGGGAAUGGCAUUUGGGACUGCAAGGCUUGAGUGCGGCAGAGGAGACUGGAAUUCCUGGUGUAGCAGUGAAAUGCGUAGAUAUCAGGAGGAACACCGAUGGCGAAGGCAGGUCUCUGGGCUGACACCGACGCUCAUGCACGAAAGCGUGGGGAGCAAACAGG
rnacentral:rRNA from 1 species